AGUGAACGCUGGCGGUAGGCCUAACACAUGCAAGUCGAACGGCAGCACAGUAAGAGCUUGCUCUUACGGGUGGCGAGUGGCGGACGGGUGAGGAAUACAUCGGAAUCUACUUUUUCGUGGGGGAUAACGUAGGGAAACUUACGCUAAUACCGCAUACGACCUACGGGUGAAAGCAGGGGAUCUUCGGACCUUGCGCGAUUGAAUGAGCCGAUGUCGGAUUAGCUAGUUGGCGGGGUAAAGGCCCACCAAGGCGACGAUCCGUAGCUGGUCUGAGAGGAUGAUCAGCCACACUGGAACUGAGACACGGUCCAGACUCCUACGGGAGGCAGCAGUGGGGAAUAUUGGGCAAUGGGCGCAAGCCUGAUCCAGCCAUACCGUGUGGGUGAAGAAGGCCUUCGGGUUGUAAAGCCCUUUUGUUGGGAAAGAAAAGCAGCAGGUUAAUACCCCGCUGUUCUGACGGUACCCAAAGAAUAAGCACCGGCUAACUUCGUG
rnacentral:rRNA from 1 species